rnacentral:rRNA from 1 species
CACGUAGGGGACGAGCGUUGUCCGGAAUCAUUGGGCGUAAAGAGCGUGUAGGCGGCCUGACAGGUCUGCUGUGAAAACUCGAGGCUCAACCUCGAGAUGUCGGCGGAAACCGUCUGGCUAGAGUCCGGAAGAGGAGAGUGGAAUUCCUGGCGUAGCGGUGAAAUGCGCAGAUAUCAGGAAGAACACCUAUGGCGAAGGCAGCUCUCUGGGACGGUACUGACGCUGAGACGCGAAAGCGUGGGGAGCGAACAGG